rnacentral:lncRNA from 10 species
GUGCGCGCCUGCCUUGAGGCCAGGCCUCAGAGAAGGGUGUCCCAGAUGUAGGCAAAGCGUCCUCCAUGUGUUCCUGGAGGACCGUCCCAAGUCCUUCUCCAUUCUCCCAACCUCUUGGGCCUGGAAGUCAGACAAGUACCGGUGAUUGCCGGUUUCUUGUCUGAUUUUUGCACUUCUCUGGCAAGCUGCCCCCUCUGAAGAGUUGACUAUUUGGGAGUUACUCACUGAUGGUUCAGCCACUUCCAGAACCUACCCCAAGAGCAAGACUUGAAACCAACUCGCACCCUCAAAGCUCCGGAAGCCAUUCAGUGUUUCCAUCUUGGCUGAGUGAGUUCUUCACUGAAACUCAAUUUGACUUUGACAGUCAUCUAAUGAGAACUCAAAAGUCAUUCUUGGUUCAGCCACAGUCAAAGAACUUGCAGAGCAUUCUCUGACGAGGUCCUCAAGGACAACUGAGAGAAGGUCCCAUUCCAGGUCUUGCCCAAGUCUUUCUGAUUGGUGGGACUUAAAUCACACCCAAAAUUCCAGCUGCAGGAGAGCUCUGAGAUUUCAUCUUUCCAACCUCUGUGUGCUACGUGGGGGUUGGAGCACUUGCUGACAAGCCUUGCAACCACCAUUGACAGGAUGUCCUCCACCUUUUCAAUCUGAUUUGCUCUUUGCCAUGCAGACCUGUGGAUGAAGAGCCAGAGUCCUCCAAGGUGAAGCUGGACUGAAUAUUUCUGUCCAUAAGACUAUUAGAAUCCC